CCUACGGGUGGCAGCAGUGGGGGAUAUUGGUCAAUGGGGGAAACCCUGAUCCAGCGACGCCGCGUGAGUGAAGAAGUAUUUCGGUAUGUAAAGCUCUAUCAGCAGGGAAGAAAGAAAUGACGGUACCUGAGUAAGAAGCGCCGGCGAACUACGUGCCAGCAGCCGCGGUAAUACGGAGGGGGCAAGCGUUCUCCGGAAUUACUGGGUGUAAGGGGAGCGUAGACGGUAAUGCAAGUCUGGAGUGAAAGGCGGGGGCCCACCCCCCGGACUGCUCUGGAAACUGUGUAACUGGAGUGUAGGAGAGGCAGGCGGAAUUCCUAGUGUAGCGGUGAAAUGCGUAGAUAUCAGGAGGAACACCAGUGGCGAAGGCGGCCUGCUGGACUGUAACUGACGUUGAGGCUCGAAAGCGUGGGGAGCAAACAGGAUUAGAUACCCGGGUAGUC
rnacentral:rRNA from 1 species